rnacentral:misc_RNA from 1 species
CAACGCCGCUCUCAACCUCGUCCCCGCACUUACACGCUUGCAUGGUGGCAUGUGUUGAGCAAGGCUGUAAAGGGCAGACACACCCAAACCUAUGCAAGCAUACGCGUACCAGCAUCAAGGCCAGCACAACGAAUGAGUGUGGAGCAUGGUUCAAGUGCGCCGACACGCUCACCCCCUUCUGACGUGCGGGCAGAAGAUAGGCAUCUCCUCUCGCUCAUCCAUCGCCGCGCCGCUCUCACUGCAACGGCUGUGUCGCCUGAGUCACCGCGAACGCUGUCCCCUGUGCCGCCCGUGCCAGCGACCCCGGUAAGGACUCCCCCGACAACGCCGGUGUUGUCCACCGCGCAUACCCCUGCCCGCGGUACGACGACCAGCGGCAUCAAUCACGAGUACUCGAGCAACAGCAGCGGUCGUGUGAAGGGCUGCGAUAACAGCGCGCACAGCUCAGCGCCAGCGUCGCGCGGCAGCUCCUCGCGGGCCGCGGCCCCGCACGGGUCUUUGCACAGUUUCUUCCAACCGAAUCCCGCCAGCACCAAUGCCACAACGGCGCCAAUGGUUGUGUACUUCGACGACAGAAAAGCUGGCCUUCGCUCUGCUGAAAAGGAGAAGACGGAGGCCAUCAUCAAGGAGCUAUCCAAGAACUCAAGCUUCUAUGUAAACGAAGAGCGCAAGGCACAGCAGCGGCAGCGGCAGGUUGAGAGGUUUCUGGUGAAGACGCGGCAGUACGAAGCGAGCGUGCGCAGCCACCCUGAUGUGUUCCGCCAGCUACGGCGUGACGUGGCAGACCUCGAGGCCAUCUUUGAGACGUAUCGCAGCUUCGACUCCAUAUACGUCCACAUGGACAUGGACAUGUUCUUCGCCGCUGUCGAGAUGAAAAAGAACCCGCAGUACGCAGAGGUGCCGCUCGGUAUCGGUAGCAUGUCGAUGCUGUCCACAACAAACUACGUUGCCCGGAAAUACGGCGUGCAGUCCGGGAUGCCAGGCUUUAUUGGCAUGCGACUGUGCCCUCAGCUCGUCAUUGUGCCCACCGACUUUGCCGCGUGCCGAGCCGAGUCCGCCAAGUUCAAGGCUGUGGUGCGAGAGUACGACUCCGAUGCGCAACUGCUCGGCAUGGACGAGGUCAUGAUGUGCCUCGAUGACUACCUCGCGCACCAUCACAUGGACGUCACAACGCACGCGGGGCGCUUUGAUGUUGCAGAGAGGGUCAUCGAGGAGUGCCGACGACGCAUCGCCGAGGCAACCGGCCUGACCGUCAGCGCCGGGAUCGCGCCGACGCCGACGCUGGCGAAAAUGGCGUCCAACUAUAAAAAGCCAAACGGGCAGUUCGCCGUUCGCCUCUUCAGCCGCGAAGCCGUGAUGAAUUAUCUUGCCAGCAUCCCCGUGCGCCAGGUGCCCGGUAUCGGCAAGUCGCGGGAGAGCGUCCUCGCGGGGCUCGGGAUACACACACUCGGUGAGGUGUACGAGCAGCGGCAUCGACUCUUUUACAUCCUGACGCGGAAGACGUACGAAUUUCUUCUCGCCUCGUCUAUCGGCAUCGGUGGCAUGUACGACUCGCUGGAGGCAGCGCCGUCUUCAUCCGCCGGAACGACUAACGGCAAGACGGUCGCUGCAGUGGAUGGAGGGUCGAACGAGGACGACUGGGGACGCAAAUCCGUAGGUCAUGAACGCACCUUCUACAAACUGACGAAUCGCAUGGCGCUGCAGGCGAUCGCGUACAAGAACCUGCGCCGGUCGCAUGAGACCCUCGCAGAGGAGGGCCUCCUCUGCUCGCAGGUGGUGCUGAAGUUGAAGCACCGCAGCUUUCACGUGAAGCAGCACAGCAAGUCUCUCAAUGUAUAUACGGACGACCACGAAGUCCUACGGCGGGCGCUUGACGAGUUACUCAUGCCAGUGGUGGACGACUUUGCUGAGUUUCGGCUACUUGGCGUGCGGCUGGAAAAGCUUAGGCGACGACCCCGAAGCGACGGCACCGGCGGCGCGACCACGCUGACGGUGAAGUCGGCUGCCGAGGCAGAGUCGAAUCAGCUCACACUGAGCGACUUUUUUACUCGUCAGCUCGCAAGCACCGCACAUUCGGUGCGGCGCCGACAGCAGCAGCAGCAGCAGCAGGCGUUCGCUCAGCGAAAGCGCCCCCGUGGCAUCGGCGACGGCGGUGCAGGGGAUAAUAGCGAUGCCUAUCUCGACGACAGCGACGACGAAGACGGCGCCGUGCUCAUCGUCUCCUCCGAGAGCCAGCUGACGGACGUGGAGGAGGUGAAAGGCCCCGCGAUGAGCUCCACCGCGCCGUCUCCGCUCUCCGAUCUUUCUACGGGCUCAGCCGCAAAGCCGCAGAAGAUGCGCGACGAAGAAGUGGUCGGCAAUGACAGCGCUGACGAUAACGUGUUCAUCGUGGAAUGAAGGAUACCUGUGCGUGGAAAUCGUUGCAGGAGAAAUCGUGAAACAGCAAGCCCAUCAUGUCGUCCAUCCUCUUCUUUUUGUUGUUGUUUUCUUGUGGCUGCACCUCUCGCCAACCUCGCAUCGAGUGAGCGUGGCGAGUGCAGUUCACGCCCUCUUGUGGUGCCUCCAUCACCGGCGUCGACCUAAGUCUCCUGUGAACCCUCCCUAGCUGUUUGGCGCGUGUUGCUGCUGUUUUGCAUGGAGAGAAUCAGGCGAGGGCACGUGGGGGAUCAAGCGAAAAAAAAAACGGAAACGGUUGAGGCAUCGGCGUGAACAUCUCUGCUGACCAUGUAAGACUCCUGUACACAGUUUUCGAUGGCCGAUGCAUUGCCAGACGCUGACAGCAACGAAAGAGUGGGAGAGGUUGAGGAGUAACGGCAACAUCAAGGACGCUGACUGCUUGAGCGCGGGUCUCUCUUAGGUUUUUUUUUCGGACGCUGGUUCCCCUUCCAAAUGGCAUAUUGGUAAGGGAUAUGAUGGUGUGCGCGUUCUCGCGACUCUCCGCAAUGCAGAGGAAGGGGAAAAGAGGCGCUCAUGCCCUCAGCACACAUCCUCAGGCUCCACGAAUCGAUCUGUACCUGUCCCUUCAUUCCUCGUUGUCCGUCUCCCUAG